rnacentral:ncRNA from 18 species
GGAAUUAGGUGCAAGUCCUAGGCUGUUCCAGCAACUGUAAUGCUGAUGAACACUAUAAAAAUCCAUUGAGAUAAAGAUCUUGAGAAGGAAUAGUAAGUAAAACGAAGCUAAGCCAGUAGAC